AUGCAGUCGAGGGGUAGAAGUCUUCGGGCUUUGAGACCGGCGCACGGGUGCGUAACGCGUAUGCAAUCUGCCUUUCACAGAGGGAUAGCCCAGAGAAAUUUGGAUUAAUACCUCAUAGUAUUAUGGAGCGGCAUCACUUUAUAAUUAAAGUCACAACGGUGAAAGAUGAGCAUGCGUCCCAUUAGCUAGUUGGUAAGGUAACGGCUUACCAAGGCCACGAUGGGUAGGGGUCCUGAGAGGGAGAUCCCCCACACUGGUACUGAGACACGGACCAGACUCCUACGGGAGGCAGCAGUGAGGAAUAUUGGUCAAUGGACGCAAGUCUGAACCAGCCAUGCCGCGUGCAGGAUGACGGUCCUAUGGAUUGUAAACUGCUUUUGUACGAGAAGAAACACUCCUAUGUAUAGGAGCUUGACGGUAUCGUAAGAAUAAGGAUCGGCUAACUCCGUGCCAGCAGCCGCGGUAAUACGGAGGAUCCAAGCGUUAUCCGGAAUCAUUGGGUUUAAAGGGUCCGUAGGCGGUUUAGUAAGUCAGUGGUGAAAGCCCAUCGCUCAACGGUGGAACGGCCAUUGAUACUGCUGAACUUGAAUUACUGGGAAGUAACUAGAAUAUGUAGUGUAGCGGUGAAAUGCUUAGAUAUUACAUGGAAUACCAAUUGCGAAGGCAGGUUACUAUCAGUUUAUUGACGCUGAUGGACGAAAGCGUGGGGAGCGAACAGGAUUAGAUACCCUGGUAGUCCACGCCGUAAACGAUGGAUACUAGCUGUUGGGCGCAAGUUCAGUGGCUAAGCGAAAGUGAUAAGUAUCCCACCUGGGGAGUACGAACGCAAGUUUGAAACUCAAAGGAAUUGACGGGGGCCCGCACAAGCGGUGGAGCAUGUGGUUUAAUUCGAUGAUACGCGAGGAACCUUACCAAGGCUUAAAUGCAGACUGACCGAUUUGGAAACAGAUCUUUCGCAAGACAGUUUACAAGGUGCUGCAUGGUUGUCGUCAGCUCGUGCCGUGAGGUGUCAAGUUAAGUCCUAUAA
rnacentral:rRNA from 1 species